rnacentral:rRNA from 1 species
GACGAACGCUGGCGGCGUGCUUAACACAUGCAAGUCGAGCGAGGCCCUUCCUUCGGGAAGGUGCCCUAGCGGCGAACGGGUGAGUAACACGUGGGCAACCUGCCCCUAGCACUGGGAUAACUCCGGGAAACCGGGGCUAAUACCGGAUAUGACCUCGGAGGGCAUCCUCCUUGGUGUAAAGGAUUCUGGCUAGGGAUGGGCCCGCGGCCUAUCAGCUUGUUGGUGGGGUGAUGGCCUACCAAGGCGACGACGGGUAGCCGGCCUGAGAGGGCGACCGGCCACACUGGGACUGAGACACGGCCCAGACUCCUACGGGAGGCAGCAGUGGGGAAUAUUGCACAAUGGGCGCAAGCCUGAUGCAGCGACGCCGCGUGAGGGAUGACGGCCUGUGUAC